CCUACGGGAGGCAGCAGUGAGGAAUAUUGGUCAAUGGACAAGAGUCUGAACCAGCCAAGUAGCGUGAAGGAUGACUGCCCUAUGGGUUGUAAACUUCUUUUAUAUGGGAAUAAAAUGGUCCACGUGUGGGAUUUUGUAUGUACCAUAUGAAUAAGGAUCGGCUAACUCCGUGCCAGCAGCCGCGGUAAUACGGAGGAUCCGAGCGUUAUCCGGAUUUAUUGGGUUUAAAGGGAGCGUAGGUGGAUUGUUAAGUCAGUUGUGAAAGUUUGUGGCUCAACCGUAAAAUUGCAGUUGAAACUGGCAGUCUUGAGUACAGGAGAGGUAGGCGGAAUUCGUGGUGUAGCGGUGAAAUGCUUAGAUAUCACGAAGAACCCCGAUUGCGAAGGCAGCUCGCUGGACUGCAACUGACGCUGAGGCUCGAAAGUGUGGGUAUCAAACAGGAUUAGAUACCCUGGUAGUU
rnacentral:rRNA from 1 species